UAAUAAGAGUUAGAAAAACAUAACCAAAUAUUUGACGUUUGAAUUUAUAUUAUCAAUGGGACAAAGUGCCGAAUGAAACAUGUAACGUGUGAGUAGACUUGGAUGCAGAUUAUCAAAUUCAGUCGUUCAAUUGAAAGGAGCCAACGAUUGUGCCAACGAAUCAAAUAAGAUGCAUUUUCUCUGGCGAAGGGCUGGGAAUUAAAAAUUACGAAUUGGUUCGAAAACAAGUCGGAGACUAUGCAAAGAAUUUCGUCCAAAUAUGAUUCGUGGAUCAAGAUUGCAAUUUUACAAAGUAUGAAACUGAACUAAACAAUUUGCUUCACGUUGUCGACAAGAGUGAAAACGAUAUGAUGAUUCUGAAAGAAGCAUUGAACACAUUAAUUGAAAAACAGAGCAAAUCCUUUUGAAACAAAACAAAGUUUGGCGCACUUUUAUGAUUAUAGUUUGAAAUAAUAAAUAGCACAGUAAAUGUGUUUAUUCAAAAAGAAA